AGGGUUUGAUCAUGGCUCAGAUUGAACGCUGGCGGCAUGCUUAACACAUGCAAGUCGAACGGUAACAGGCUAGCUUGCUAGUGCUGACGAGUGGCGGACGGGUGAGUAACGCGUAGGAAUCUGCCUAGUAGUGGGGGAUAGCCCGGAGAAAUCCGGAUUAACACCGCAUACGCCCUACGGGGGAAAACAGGGGAUCUUCGGACCUUGUGCUAUUAGAUGAGCCUGCGUUAGAUUAGCUAGUUGGUGGGGUAAGAGCUCACCAAGGCAACGAUCUAUAGCUGGUCUGAGAGGAUGAUCAGCCACAUCGGGACUGAGACACGGCCCGGACUCCUACGGGAGGCAGCAGUGGGGAAUAUUGGACAAUGGGCGAAAGCCUGAUCCAGCAAUGCCGCGUGUGUGAAGAAGGCCUGAGGGUUGUAAAGCACUUUCAAUUGUGAAGAAGCGUUUGUAUCUAAUAGGUAUAAGCGUUGACGUUAACUUUAGAAGAAGCACCGGCUAACUCCGUGCCAGCAGCCGCGGUAAUACGGAGGGUGCAAGUGUUAAUCGGAAUUACUGGGCGUAAAGCGCGCGUAGGCGGUUAUUUAAGUCAGAUGUGAAAUCCCCGGGCUUAACCUGGGAAUGGCCUCUGAUACUGGGUAACUAGAGUUUGGAAGAGGGGAGUAGAAUUUCAGGUGUAGCGGUGAAAUGCAUAGAGAUCUGAAGGAAUACCAGUGGCGAAGGCGACUCCCUGGUCCAGAACCGACGCUGAGGUGCGAAAGCGUGGGUAGCAAACGGGAUUAGAUACCCCGGUAGUCCACGCUGUAAACGAUGUCAACUAGCCGUUGGGCGCCUUGUGCGCUUAGUGGCGCAGCUAACGCAUUAAGUUGACCGCCUGGGGAGUACGGUCGCAAGACUAAAACUCAAAGGAAUUGACGGU
rnacentral:rRNA from 1 species